rnacentral:rRNA from 1 species
AUUGAACGCUGGCGGCAGGCCUAACACAUGCAAGUCGAGCGGAUGAAGGGAGCUUGCUCCUGGAUUCAGCGGCGGACGGGUGAGUAAUGCCUAGGAAUCUGCCUGGAGUGGGGGAUAACGUCCGGAAACGGGCGCUAAUACCGCAUACGUCCUGAGGGAGAAAGUGGGGGAUCUUCGGACCUCACGCUAUCAGAUGAGCCUAGGUCGGAUUAGCUAGUUGGUGGGGUAAAGGCCUACCAAGGCGACGAUCCGUAACUGGUCUGAGAGGAUGAUCAGUCACACUGGAACUGAGACACGGUCCAGACUCCUACGGGAGGCAGCAGUGGGGAAUAUUGGACAAUGGGCGAAAGCCUGAUCCAGCCAUGCCGCGUGUGUGAAGAAGGUCUUCGGAUUGUAAAGCACUUUAAGUUGGGAGGAAGGGCAGUAAGUUAAUACCUUGCUGUUUUGACGUUACCAACAGAAUAAGCACCGGCUAACUGCGU